GUCCUUGCCGUAAACGAUGUAUACUUGAUGUAGCUGGGCUCAACCCUGGCUGUGUCGUAGCUAACGCGAUAAGUAUACCGCCUGAGGAGUACGCUCGCAAGGGUGAAACUCAAAAGAAUUGACGGGGGCCCGCACAAGCAGUGGAGCAUGUGGUUUAAUUCGAUGCAACGCGAAGAACCUUACCCAGGCUCGAAAUGCAGGAGACGGUUCCAGAGAUGGAACUUCCCGAAAGGGCUGCUGUAUAGGUGCUGCAUGGCUGUCGU
rnacentral:rRNA from 1 species